UCCAGCUAAUCAAUGUCUUGAAACUCGCAGGCAGGUGUAUUGGAGCUUGUUGGAUCUAAACUUUGCAGGACAGAGGCCCUCCAGGAACUAAGCCUAAAGACUUACUUGAUAGAGCCUUUAACCUUAGUCUGGUCUUCAUCCUGGAAUUUGUACUGGUAACUCAUCAUGAGCCAAGGUGAAGUGACUGGUUUUGGUGUCCCUGACAAUACUGGUGGUCAUGGCAGACUGGCUUCCCCAGCGCCACUGCAAGUAACCCAUAGUGUUCUGGUCAAGAUGCCUCGCCAUCAUCGUUGAGGCAUUCGGUUUGACUCCACGUGAGGAGAACUGCAGUCCCCAUUGCGCAGUCACGAAGCUGAAAGCCACGAAGCAAAUUAAAGCAUGCAUGCUGCAACAUUACUUACCCAACUUUCUAAGAGGAAGAC